rnacentral:lncRNA from 1 species
CGAUGGCGUGUGAAUUGCUGGUCUGGAUCCCGGGUUUCUUACUUCCUGGUCACAAAAUGGCUGCCGAAGUCCAUAAGCUAAAUCCUAAUGUGAGUGAACAUGAUCAAGGAUUCAUGACUACAACCCCAAAAUACGGCACUUCUGCCUGUGUGGAAACAACAGAAGCAGGAAGAUUACUCUCAUUUUUCUCUGGCCUUUUUCCCUUGAAGCAGACUAUAAAGAAGAAUCUGACCUUCCUCUGAAGGAAACCUUCAUUCCAGACAUACCCUCCCUAUAUCCAAAGAACAUCUUUAUCUUUAAAGACACAGAGAUGUCAAGAAGAAUCUGAACAAACAGGCUUUGCCAGAUCCCCCAGUUUACUAAUAUUGAACCAUACUCUUUUGUUCUUCAAUCAUACUUCUGCAUGAUGUCCAUAAAAAUACACAGUUUUCCCCAUUCCUUUUGGGUAUUUAUUCCCGAAAGCUUCUGUGUCAU